rnacentral:lncRNA from 10 species
CUUGACUUAACCUGUCAGCAGAGGGCUUGAGGUUAGACCACAGGUUGAACCUAGGUGGCUGCUGGAGAGGCCUUGAAAUCAUGGCAGCAGCAAGACCCAACUGGGGCAGCAUCAUGUCUGGGUUUGAAUCCCGGUUCAGCCACUUUCCAGCUGUGUGAUGUGGGGCAAGUCAGAAAGAAGCUGGAAGCUCAAGCCUGACUAUAGGACCAGCACAGCCCCUGGCCAGCCGCAUGCUGCAGAGGCUCUGGCUGACUGUCUCUGCUCGCCUGUUCUGUUGUUUGCAUGUUCUCAGAAUAGGAGACCCCUAAAGACAGAAACUGCAUGUGUCCUGCGCAGGAAAUCUUGUAUUGGCCCUCUCAGCAGCCUUCUGGUUCCAAACCCUAUGGAAACUGCGCUCACCAAGUCAGCAGAGGCCUCCUCCUCUCAGCCUCAACUUCUUGGGGGAAAUUGGUUCUAGGGCCAGCAAGACUUCCAAAGAGCCUCUUCCCAGCAGGUUCAACCUCCCAUCAUCUGAAAGUCUUUCUGCUCCCCUCAGGGAUCCCCCACCAAGCCCUCUGCCCCUGAAGGUUGGUGCUCUGAGGGCAUCCUCCUCUCUCUGUGCACUCGCCAUCAGAGUGGUUUAGCUCCCCUUGUUCCAAUUCCAGUUGGCCACAAGCAGCUCCCAAGUCAAUUUCUCUGGUUCACUGUCCAUUAGUUGACCCAGCUAGAACCCCACCCCUGGCUCCUGACGCCUCUCCUGCUGGACUCUUCAGCAUGUUGGAUGAAGGCCAUUAGUGCUGAACUCACCAUACUCUUCCAAGAUCUGCCUGCUCCUCCCCAUCACCCCAGAGCAAGCCCUUGGCUCCUCUCCCCUUCCUAGAAACUCCCACCAGUGUUGUCAGUUCUCUUGGGUCAUGAUUCCUUAAAAAUGAACACAGAAUCUAAUUUUAUUUUCAAAACAUGAAAACAGUUCACCAUUUAACUUUGCUCUUAUUAAGUCUAUUAUCCUGAUUCAUCCUCUUUGGUAUUAAAGUCAAUAAAUCGUAUAAAUCUUGAAACUUUUUUAACUCAGAAAAAUAAAUUCUGUUAUGACAAUCCUUGAC